rnacentral:rRNA from 1 species
AGUGAACGCUGGCGGCAUGCCUAACACAUGCAAGUCGAACGGCAGCACAGUAAGAGCUUGCGCGUACGGGUGGCGACGGGCGGGCGGGUGAGGGAUACAUCGCAAUCCACUGUGUCGAGGGCGGCGACGGAGGGACAAUUACGCUAAAAGCGCAUACGACCUACGGGGGAAAUCAGAGGAUCUUGGGAGCUUGCACGAGCGAAUGAGCGGAUGUCGGAUUAGCUAGUUGGCGGGGUAAAGGCCCACCAAGCCGGCGAUCCGUAGCUGGUCUGAGAGGAUGAUCAGCCACACUGGAACUGAGACACGGUCCAGACUCCUACGGGAGGCAGCAGUGGGGAAUUUUGGACAAUGGGCGAAAGCCUGAUCCAGCCAUGCCGCGUGGGGGAUGAAGGCCUUCGGGUUGUAAAGUCCUUUUGUUGGGAACGAAACGCAGCUGGUUAAUACCGCACGGUACUGACGGUACCGAAAGAAUAAGCACCGGCUAACUUCGUG